UACGGGGGGGGCAAGCGUUGUUCGGAAUUACUGGGCGUAAAGGGCUCGUAGGCGGCCAACUAAGUCAGACGUGAAAUCCCUCGGCUUAACCGAGGAACUGCGUCUGAUACUGGAUGGCUUGAGUUUGGGAGAGGGAUGCGGAAUUCCAGGUGUAGCGGUGAAAUGCGUAGACAUCUGGAGGAACACCGGUGGCGAAGGCGGCAUCCUGGACCAACACUGACGCUGAACAGCGAAAGCCAGGGGAGCAAACGGG
rnacentral:rRNA from 1 species